AGAGUUUGAUCCUGGCUCAGGAUGAACGCUAGCUACAGGCUUAACACAUGCAAGUCGAGGGGCAUCAUGGCGGUUGCUUGCAACCGCCGAUGGCGACCGGCGCACGGGUGAGUAACGCGUAUCCAACCUGGCCGUUGCCACGGCACAGCCCGCCGAAAGGCGGAUUAAUGCGGUAUGAGGCGCUUCGAUGGCAUCAGAAGAGCGCCAAAGCUUCGGCGGCAGCGGAUGGGGAUGCGUCCGAUUAGGCAGCAGGCGGGGCAACGGCCCACCUGGCCGACGAUCGGUAGGGGUCCUGAGAGGGAGGCCCCCCACACUGGGACUGAGACACGGCCCAGACUCCUACGGGAGGCAGCAGUGAGGAAUAUUGGUCAAUGGGCGGAAGCCUGAACCAGCCAAGUAGCGUGCGGGACGACGGCCCUAUGGGUUGUAAACCGCUUUUUCACGGGGAUAAAGUGCGCCACGCGUGGCGCUUUGCAGGUACCGUGCGAAUAAGGACCGGCUAAUUCCGUGCCAGCAGCCGCGGUAAUACGGAAGGUCCGGGCGUUAUCCGGAAUCAUUGGGUUUAAAGGGAGCGUAGGCCGCAUGUCAAGCGUGCUGUGAAAUCCCGGGGCUCAACCCCGGAAGCGCAGCGCGAACUGGCGUGCUUGAGUUGCAUCGAGGCAGGCGGAAUUCGUGGUGUAGCGGUGAAAUGCUUAGAUAUCACGAAGAACCCCGAUUGCGAAGGCAGCCUGCCAGUUGCACACUGACGCUGAUGCUCGAAGGCGCGGGUAUCGAACAGGAUUAGAUACCCUGGUAGUCCGCGCGGUAAACGAUGGAUGCCCGCCCUUGGGCCGCUACGGUUCAGGGGCCAAGCGAAAGCGUUAAGCAUCCCACCUGGGGAGUACGCCGGCAACGGUGAAACUCAAAGGAAUUGACGGGGGCCCGCACAAGCGGAGGA
rnacentral:rRNA from 1 species